UACAGAGGUCUCAAGCGUUGUUCGGAUUCAUUGGGCGUAAAGGGUGUGUAGGUGGCGUCGUAAGUCGGGUGUGAAAUUUCGGAGCUUAACUCCGAAACUGCAUUCGAUACUGCGGUGCUUGAGGACUGGAGAGGAGACUGGAAUUCAUGGUGUAGCAGUGAAAUGCGUAGAGAUCAUGAGGAAGACCAGUGGCGAAGGCGGGUCUCUGGACAGUUCCUGACACUGAGACACGAAGGCCAGGGGAGCAAACGGG
rnacentral:rRNA from 1 species